rnacentral:sRNA from 1 species
CUUCCGUUGCCUUGUAAGCCGCGACCUGGCAUUUCGGGUGCAUAGAGUUCUUAUCUGGAUUAAAUAUUUCGUAUGAAACCUACGGAACCGAGGCUACACAAGACAAAGAAAAAAAGAAAAAGAGAAAAAGGAAAAACAAUAAAGGAAGAAAAGCAUUCCAGGAACAGAAUGGGCUAGGAUGCCAGGUUCAACAAAAACAUGAUUCAAGCGAUGGCCAUCUUUAAAACGGAACAAAAUACCCGAUAAUCCUCCUUCCAACGGCCAGCGAGUGCUCAGAGGUGAAACAGAUCUUUUUGCGGGAAUCACUCAUCUUCAUCUUUCCUCUUCCCUGCCACGAAACGAGCUUCCUGUAGAUAAU